GUUAGGUUUGGUGGAAACAUAAAAAGAGAGGAAGGAAGGGUACAGGAAAUGUUUUACCUACCUUGCUGCUAUUAAAUAAAGCUCUCCUGUUACCAAGCUGUUUUGGACUUGGAAACAUACAUUAUUACUAUCUGUUAUUUACUGAUGGUGUGGUCAGAGCUGUACAAGGCACAAGACGAUACAGUCCUGGCUCUGAAUACCUUAGAAAAUUAAAAGAGAGGCAGAGAAGACAGGGUGCACUUGGAACCCCAGAAGAAAGGGAUCAUUUGAGUUGUAUAUUAUUGUUUCUUUAUUUCUUAACAUUAAUAUAAAUUCAACAGUGUUUAAGGAUCUGAUUCAAAGUACAUUGAAAUCAGUGAAAAGACUCCCACUGGUUUCAAUGAGCUUUGGAUCUGGUCCUAAGUACACAGAUCUUCAUGAUGGGUAACACUUAGUGUCAGUACACUAUGUUUGGUGUUCUUUUUGCUGUGCAUGAUUGGGUAAAAGAAUGUCAGUCUAGAAGAGUUGUCAACUAUCUCUCUGGACACUUAAAACAAGCUGAGACUGAUCACACUAUUUAUUGAUCUCAUUUAUAUUGUCUUGGAGAUUUCACGCUAAUGUUAAUCUGAUGAAGUGUAGAUGAAGUAGGCUGGAGAGUUUAGAAUUGUGCAUUUCCUGCAUAGAGCUGUUAACAGACUAAUUUUCAUAGAAAGGAUACCUGAAAUGUAUGAUUAUCUAAUGUAAGGAUAUCAGCAUCUCUGAAUGUUUGAUUAUCUAACCAUAAGUAGAUUACAUAAAAAAGAGACUUACAAGAAACCGGACUUUGGACAGAUCCUCUUUCAAAGGGACAAUCUCCCACUCUGGAGGUUUCUCUCCUUUCUCAGAAAUCUUCCUAUUUCUGUUCAUUCUGUCCCUUUUAAAAAAUGCAGAUAGCAACAUGCAUGCCCUCACUUUUGUGCUAACCACCUGGUUUCCUGUAAGUACCCAGACUAUGAGUAAAUUACAUUCAAUACAUUGUCUCUUCUUUUUAUUGUUAUUAUUUCAGUGGACUGAAUAUUUCUGAACAUGGUUUGGUCAAUAACCAGAAAGCCAGAGGCAGAUCCUCACCAGUGUAAAUUGUCAUAGCUUCCUUGAAGCCAGUGAAGCUAUGCCAAAUGAAGUAAAUUGUACUAGGACAAUUUCCACCAGCUGAGGAUCUUGCCCCUGGAGUGGAAAGAUGCAAUAUUUUGUUUCCAAAGAAAUAAGUUGCUUUAAACAACUACUGCUUUGCUUUAUGCUGUAAUCUUGAUGCAUACUCAGGUGUGCUCUAUUUGCUUAUUUGUCUUCUAUCAUCCACUGUACAAAAUAAGACCUUAAUCAAGCAAAUCUUACUUAGAUGUGUAGUUCUGCUGAACACCAUGGACCUAAUUGUGAGAGUGAGAACUACUCACAUGAGUAAGGGUUGCAGGCUCCUGCCUUCAUGUACUAAUAUAAGGGGGGAAGUGGUCAGGUGUUUUGCCAAAAAAUCAGUAACUUCUCAAGAAAAAUAAAAUUUGGCUAGUGUUUUUUAUUAUUAUUAUUAUUAUUGUUAUUUUUUAAACAGCUAUUCUGGCUAAGAUAACUCCUCCUAGUAAAUGAUACAGUGUUUUGUGAGGACUAAAUUUUGCCUUUAGUCACAGUCAUCAGCAAAGGGCACUGAAUGAAUUACACUGUCUCAGCAGUAGUUCCAGGAGGUAUUGUCCUCGGAGGCACAAUUUCCUCAGGUCUCCUCUCUUGCACCAGCCAGGGGUAAGUAUUUACUGCUCACCUAUGCCAACAGCAAAUUAUAACACACCACGUGCUUUACCCCAUCCCUGCCCACUCACCAGCUCAGGUCAGGCAGGGUGCACAGUAAAAUAGAGCCCAUUUAUUCCUGCAGGCCCAGACCCAAGGUGUGGUUAACCCAUGCAGGAAACUAACAGAGGUUCUUAUUCUUCUCUAUGGCUCUGCAUGGAUGUGUUGUACAAACCAAUAUUUAGAAAGAACUAAAUAUUAUAUCAUGCCAAAACAUAUUGUGCAAGAGCUGAAGAAAUUACUAUUCACUGACAAAUAAAUAUCACUGCACCACUAGAUAAUACUUCCGAGCCAGCCCAGGGGUUGGAUAGCAGCACUACAUGUUUUGCUGUGUGGAACCGAGAUUGAGAGUGGCCUUGGAUUUCUUACUACUCAAGGAUCAGAUGAGCACAAGCAUUUCAAAGGGUGAAGCACUUGCAUCCAGGGGAGAACAUGCUGGCGAAUGCACAUGUGACUCCUGCUAUUGACUAUCAGGACCUGAACCUGCAGCGUCUAUUCAACUGAACCUUUAAAUAGCUUGUUCACAGGAGUAAAGGUUUGCAGGUUCAUGUGCAAAGAUACUUAACCUCUUUUCAAGUCACUGGCUGAUUAGAAAGGGAAAGGCAUAAAGAGAGGCAGGAAUAAAAAUGAGUUUUCACAGAAAGAAUAGUUGGGGAUCAACAUGUUGUUUUUUUCACACAGAUUCCACUCAGGGUUAGUUUCAGUGAGAGAAACCCCAGACUGAGGUGCCUGGAGAUGAGCAGGGAUGGGAUCAGAAAACUAAAUAGGAAUGAAAUUGUUCCCUGUAAUGCACAACAUCCUUCACUGGGUUGCUUGGGGAAAAUGUAGGGCUGAAUUAGGCCCUUGCAUUUUGCUGUAAAUUAAAGGCCUUAAUAAAUGCUCUAGGUCAUAUGAAUGUAUUUUUAAUGCUUUCAUGGUGUGGAGUGUUCUAAGCAAAAAGUGUCAACCCACAGAUUUCACAUUUGUCUAAAUUUGCAUUCUCCCAGAUGGUCAUAUUUAUUGAGUUUGUGAAGUUAACUGUCUCUUUCAGGGCCUGCCAAUCAGGGUUUGCUGUAGGUUAAAACAGAAAAUAAAUCUUUCAUUUAUUGACCUAGUACUAAAGUUGAGCCCAAACCAAAACCUCCGAUACAAACACCGCCACGUUUUGGGGAAGAUCGGACCCAGAUUUGCAUCCAAGCUUCAAGGGCCAAAUUCUGCUCUCCUUUUAACCAAUGAAACCCCAUUAAAUUCAAUGUUUUACCUGUAUAAAGGAGAGCAGAAUUUAGCCAGUUGAUUUAGCAAUAUGUUCAGCUCACUCGUCACACAACCUCCAGUUUGAAUCAGAUCAAAGAGGAAAUAAAGCAGAUGACAUUAACGUGUUUCAUGCCUAGUGAAUAAACCUCAGCUUUUCAGCUAUUGCAGCAAAUGCACACAGACAUAUAUGUAUAAAACCCAGAAUCCAAGAAAAAUACUAAAUUCACUGCAUAUCUAAGGGUUGAGUUUAAUUUUAUUUAUAAGACUAUUCUCUGUAGCUAUCAAUCUUCACUUAAUUAAAAAUUCACAAAAUUAAAUCAAAUGCUUUUCCUGUAAAUUACACUAAACCAAAAUGAACUAAAGGCCCAUGGUCCAGGUAUCUGUCAAUUCUUCCUCUAGUACAUCACUAUUUUGUCAAAGAAAAUCCAAGUUUAAUAGUUUGGGAAUUUAAUUAUCAAUUCUAUUAGUGAAACUGCUUGAGAGAGUCUUGAAGACAUUUCCUUUCACUUUAGUUUGCCCUAUGUAUAAAUAGAGCACUUUGGUCCUUUAUUGAUUUGUCCUUUACUGCAGUGAUCACCUUUCAUUCUCUAGCAUUCACCUUCCACCAUGUAUGAGCAUUAAAUCCCUAUUUAAAAGAAAUAAUAGAACUGGAAUGAUGGCUCAAUAGUGCAGUGAUCAGGAGAAGAACCCAGAGGACCCUAACUGAGUCAGAACUUUAUUUCUUUAAGCUGAAUAGUGAUCUCAAUAUCUCUCGCAGGCUUCCUCUCUCUGGUGAUGUGAAUGCCAGCUGCUUUGGGAUGGGGAAGAGGAGGGGAAAGAAAAUGCCUUCAUAAAGGACAUUGGUCUACAUGUGCAAUACUCAGCAAUUAGAAUCCCCAUGUGUGUGAAUAUGGGUUAACACAUCAGCACAUUUCUAUUUUGAAAUGAAGAGCAGCAGAAAAAAUGUUCCUAGGAUCCUACUCUCUUCCAUUCAAUUCUAGCUGCCCACUUGAUGUACAUGGGAUUACUAAAUCCUAAACAAGAAGUGUAUUUAAAGUCAAGGGACAUGGGGCCAUAUCCUCAGCUGAUGAAAAUAUGUUUAGCUCUUUGGAAGCCAGCGUAGCUCUGCUGAUUUACACCGGCUGAGGAUCUGGCCUAUUGUAUGAAACAUGAGGAACUUGUGAAAAUAUGCACUAACUGUAAGAAGGAUCUGGACUUUCACAGCACUUUUGGGUUUCAGCAGGAGCAGGAUUAGUUAAAGGGAGUCUCUCAUUAAGCAAAUGUCCACUCGAGUGUGAUGCAUUACUUGUUAAAAUGAAUUUCAUAUAGUGAUCACAUUAACUUCCUAACAGGUUUCUUCAUUUGAGAAGGCUCAGCAUUCCUAUUUUGGCUACUGGGCUAAUACCAGAUCCCACUGAAAUCAGCAAGAAUAUUUCCACUGAAUUCAGUGCAACUAGGGUAUGUCCCAUUGUACACUGAGUUUUAUUUAUGAAUGGCAUUGUUCCUUUAUCAUAGAGUGAUUAAAAUUGUUAUUAAAUAAGUGUGUUUAAACUCAUAUUGUUUGUGUGAUUGAUUUAAACAUACGUCAUUCAAAAUUGGGGAUAAAUGCACUGAUU